UUUCAUUCAGACGUCCUUCGUCUGCGAACGUCUUACUCCGAAACCUCACGUAUUGUCAUCCGCAAGCCCCGACUCUACAUAUCAAGCACUUUGACCGCAACAUCUGUGUGUUUGUGUGAAUGCAGACUGUGAGCUUUAACGUUACAUGUCAAAAAAAAAAACAAACAAAACAAAACAGUUGGUUGCUACCCGGCUAGCGAGCUUUAGCAGAGAGAGCAGCCUCCGCAGAGCGGGGCGGUAGAAGGUGCCAGAUCGAAUCCUCGCUGCAAGGACCGGGGAGGAUGGGUCACUGCGUGUGAUCAGCGAGGAUGAGGAGCCGCAGUAACUCGGGAGUGAGGCUGGACGGCUAUGCCAGGCUGGUCCAGGAGACCAUCCUGUGCCAUCAGAACCCAGUGACUGGACUUCUGCCAGCCAGUGCCCAGAAGAAGGAUGCCUGGGUGAGGGAUAAUGUGUACAGUGUCCUGGCUGUGUGGGGGCUGGGCAUGGCCUACCGCAAGAACGCAGACCGCGAUGAAGACAAGGCCAAGGCCUACGAACUGGAGCAGAGUGUGGUGAAACUGAUGCAGGGGCUUCUACAGUGCAUGAUGAGACAGGUGGCCAAGGUGGAGAAGUUUAAACACACCCAGAGUACAAAGGAUUGCUUGCAUGCCAAAUAUGACACUCCCACCUGUGCCACGGUGGUCGGGGACGACCAGUGGGGCCAUCUCCAGGUGGAUGCCACCUCGAUUUACCUGCUAAUGCUGGCACAGAUGACAGCCUCAGGUCUUCGUAUCAUCUCGAAUCUGGAUGAGGUAGCCUUUAUCCAGAACUUGGUCUUCUACAUAGAAGCUGCCUACAAAGUGGCGGAUUAUGGGAUGUGGGAGCGAGGUGACAAGACCAACCAGGGCAUCCCUGAGCUCAAUGGCAGCUCCGUGGGAAUGGCUAAGGCAGCUCUGGAGGCCAUAGAUGAGCUGGAUCUUUUUGGUGUCCAUGGAGGACCGAAGUCAGUCAUCCAUGUCUUGCCCGAUGAAGUGGAACACUGUCAGUCCAUCCUGUGCUCCAUGCUGCCGAGAGCUUCAACCUCAAAGGAGAUAGACGCAGGUCUUCUGUCUGUCAUUUCCUUCCCUGCUUUCGCUGUUGAGGAUGCUGACCUGGUGGCCAUCACUAAGUCAGAAAUCAUAAGCAAACUGCAGGGUCGCUUUGGCUGCUGCCGCUUCAUCAGGGAUGGAUAUCGCUGUCCUAAAGAGGACCCAUCUCGACUGCACUACGAUCCUGCGGAGCUCAAACUGUUUGAGAAUAUCGAAUGUGAAUGGCCUGUGUUCUGGACUUAUCUCAUCCUGGACGGUAUCUUCGCUGGUGAUCAAGUGCAGGUGCAGGAGUACCGUGAGGCGCUGGAGGGCGUUUUGAUCAGAGGGAACAACGGCAUCAAACUGGUGCCUGAACUUUAUUCUGUACCACGCGACAAGGUGGAGGAGGAGUACAGCAAUCCUCACUCUGUUGACAGAGUGGCCAUGGGGCAGCUGCCGCACAUGUGGGGACAGUCACUCUACAUCUUGGGCUCUCUUCUGGCCGAGGGGUUUUUAGCACCAGGAGAGAUCGAUCCUCUGAACAGGAGAUUCUCCACAAACUUCAAGCCAGAUGUUGUGGUACAAGUUUGUGUUCUAGCAGAGUCGGAGGAGAUCCAGGAGCUGUUAAGUGAUCAUGGGAUAAAGGUCCAGAGGAUGUCAGAAGUUCUGCCUAUUAGGGUCAUGCCCGCUCGCAUCCUGAGCCAUGUCUACGUCAGACUGGGGAACUGCAAGAAACUGAAUUUGAGUGGGAGGCCCCACAGACACAUUGGAGUUCUGGGAACAUCCAAAUUCUACGAGAUCAGAAAUCGCUCCUAUAUCUUCACCCCCCAGUUUCUGGAUCAGCACCAUUUCUACCUGGCACUGGACAACCAGAUGAUUGUGGAGAUGUUACGGACAGAACUGGCCUACCUCUCCUCUUGCUGGAGGAUGACAGGACGCCCCACGCUCACUUUCCCCAUCACCCACAGCAUGCUGGUUGAAGAUGGAGAUGGGAUUGAUCCCUGUAUCCUAGCAACCCUCAGGAAACUACAGGAUGGCUAUUUUGCUGGAGCGAGGGUGCAGAUGUCAGACCUCUCCAGUUUCCAGACCACUUCGUUCCACACUAGCCUCAGCUUCCUGGAUGAAGAGAACGAUGUGAGCUUACUUGAGGAUGAGGGUGGGGACGAGGAAGAUGAUGACAGAUAUGGAGAGGAAUAUAACCAAUCUGGGCCCUCAGAGGGCUCAGAAGACAUGUUUGACCAGUACUUCACGCAGCUCCUCCACAGCACCAACAACAAGAGUCAUCUUCCUCCCAUCCAGAGGGGGCAGCACCAUGUCUUCAGUGCUGAACACACCACGAGAGACAUCCUGUCUCUCAUGGCCCAGGUCCAGGGCCUGAACAUGCCCAAGUCCUCCAUGUAUCUACCCGUGGCUCCUGUCAUGAACAAACACCGCAAAUCUCUCAACCUUCUUGAAGUCCCUCAUCCUCCGCAUGGCCCACAUGUAAAGCAGCACAAGAAGCCCCACAGCGCUGCUGAUCUGCACCUGCCUCGGGACUCUCAGGGCAACACAGACUUUGCGGCGUUGGUGAGGCAGCUGAAAGAGUGUCCCACUCUGCAGGACCAGGCUGACAUCCUCUACAUUCUCUACGUAAUGAAAGGAGCUGAUUGGCUGGUGGAGUUGUCAGGCCCUGGUCAGGGUGGGAUCAGCGUGCGUUCCCUGUUGGAGGAGCUGUACAUACAAGCGGGAGCCUGCAAAGAGUGGGGACUCAUCAGAUACAUCUCUGGAAUACUACGCAAGAGAGUGGAAGUCCUCGCCGAGGCCUGCACAGAUCUUAUUUCCCAUCACAAGCAGCUGACUGUGGGCCUACCUCCUGAACCCAGGGAAAAAGUCAUCACAGUGCCACUUCCUCCUGAGGAGUUGAACACUCUCAUCUAUGAAGCCAGUGGUCAGGACAUCAGUAUAGCCAUACUCACUCAGGAAAUCAUGGUCUAUCUAGCCAUGUACGUGCGCUCCCAGCCGGCUCUGUUUGGGGACAUGCUCCGACUCAGGAUAGGCCUCAUCAUGCAAGUGAUGGCCACUGAGCUGGCUCGUAGCCUGCACUGUUCUGGGGAGGAGGCAUCUGAGAGUUUGAUGAGCCUGAGUCCGUUUGGCAUGAAGAGCCUCCUGCAUCACAUCCUCAGUGGCAAAGAAUUUGGGGUGGAGAGGAGCAUGCGCCCAAUCCAGUCAACAGCCACCAGUCCUGCCAUCUCCAUCCAUGAACUAGGCCACACUGGCGCCACCAAGACUGAACGCACAGGAAUACACAAACUAAAGAGUGAGAUAAAACAGCUGGAUGACUCUCGGCCUCUCAGUAUCUUCAGCGGUGGUCUUUCCUUGAGUAGCAAUGUCACUUCUCCUCGCUCCACGCGUUGCAGCAGCCCCUCCACCCCCAGUGGAAUCCUGUCCCCAGUGGGACCUGGUCCAGGAGAUGGACAGCUGCACUGGGAGGAGAGGCAAGGCCAGUGGCUGAGGAGACGCAGGCUGGACGGAGCUAUCAACAGAGUGCCAAUGGGUUUCUACCAGAAGGUCUGGAAGAUCCUGCAGAAGUGCCAUGGGCUGUCCAUCGAUGGAUAUGUGUUGCCUUCAUCUACCACAAGAGAGAUGACGGCGGGAGAGAUCAAGUUUGCGGUGCAGGUGGAGUCCGUCUUGAACCAUGUCCCUCAGCCGGAGUACCGGCAGCUGCUAGUGGAGACUGUGAUGGUUCUAGGCUUGGUAGCUGACGUGGAUGUGGACAGCAUUGGUGGCAUCAUUCACGUGGACCAUAUCUUGCAUUUGGCCAAUGACUUCUUCUUCAGUGACCAGGAAUCCCACAGUGCCAGUGAUUAUUUCCUUGAGAAGGAUCCAGCGACCGGAAUUUGCAACUUUUUCUAUGAUAGCGCUCCCAGUGGCAGCUAUGGAACCAUGACCUAUCUGUCCAGGGCGGUUAUCACUUAUGUCCAGGACUUCCUGCCCAGUUCCGGCUGCCUGAUGCAGUGAAAAAGCAGACAACUGUGUCUUGCUGCUCCUGAAAGUCUCUGAAAACCUGAAGAAACAAGUUUCAUAACUACAGAAUCCACCGGUCAAAGGCAGCAAAGCUUUUCAUCAUCAGCUCAUACAAUUCAUGUGGUGCUUGUUGUGCUACUGAUAUGGCAAGUCAGCAUUUCGCAUGGACCUCAACUUACUGAGGGUACAGUGGUACAAGCUUUGUGUACAGUGAGGACUAGUUUUUUUUCUGGUAUGUUAGGGUGUAUGUCUGCUUUAAUACCUGUAUGUAGAAGUGCUUUGUAUACAGUAUAUACGUAGUAUAUACAGUGUAUGUAUGAUGUAUAUGUAAAGAAUGAAAUGGCAGUACAGUCAGAAAUUGGUACAGUAACAGAGAGGUCCGGAGUAUGUUGAAUAAGGUCUUUGCAAGUCUGAGAAGAGCGUUAUUUCACUCUUCUUUCAUCCCUGUACUUCGAUGUUGAAAGCAAAACUGCAGGAAACCUAGUUUAAUGUUGAUAUAUUUUAAUGCUAACUCUAACCCAGAAAUACCUGCAUUUACAUAAAACCAAUAACAGAAAUACAGAGAUUUUAAAAAAUGUAAUUAUUUUACUAUUAUAAUACAUCGUGCAGGUUGCCUGUUAAACAUUGAAAGAUCUGUUAAAUUGUUUUGACAAUGCACUUGUGCCUCAUUUCCAUUACAAAAAACAUUUAUUAUGACAUUUUCAAAGUAUGUUCACGCAAUAAUAAAGCCAUUUGACCAAUGAUGGUAACCUAUCAUUUAUCUUUAUAUCUGUUUGCCACAUAUACUUCUAAAUACUUGUUGUGGUAGGAGCUCCGAUUGGCCAGACUCCUGCCAACAUACACACAGCUAGCCAAUCAGAGCUCCAGCUGUCGCUCUAUGGGUUGGACCUCAUUUAAUUCUUAUUUUGCUAGCACAUACUUGAAUCAAAGAGAGCCAUCUUUAGAUUAAAGUGAUCAUGAAUUUGAAACGGUUAAUGUUAAACAUUUGUAAAUGGAAUAACAAAUGGAAUAACACAUUCUAUCAAAAAUUCAUCAAUAUAUACAGUAUGCUGUGGUUCAUCAGAAUAAGGAAAUAC